AACACAUCCCUUCCUUCAACAAGCACACAAGCUGCACACCCUCGGGAUACCAGCUUAUUUUCUAGUGACCACUUACUACAUACAGCCUGGUGCGGGUCACACCACGCUGGGUGCAGAAAUUGUGGGCUGACCCAAGAUGGGGCAAAAUCAUCUGUGAUCUGGACGUCUCUCCCCACCCUCACCCCGCCAGUGGCACCCCAGUUUAUGGUCUCUCGGUCUUUUUGCCCUGGGAUUAGUUCUAAGGGGCUGUAGGAGGGAAGAGAAAUAAUUAAGGAGACGCCGGUGCCUGUGUGUCUGUUGGCGACGGAGUUCAGAUCGAGACCCUCUCAACAACCCCCUCGCCAGCCAAGACUCGCGGUGCGGAUUUGUCCGAGGCUGGCGGAGAGAUCCGGGUUUCCCCUCCGCUCCUGACUCACGCUCCAGGAUCUCUCAGCCCUGGGCAGAGCCUGAGCUCCUCUUCUGGGUGGAGGGCGGCGAAACGGGGCUGACCGCAGAAGGCCCUUAAGAACCACUUUAAAGGAUGCUCUGUGCUUAGCAAACGCGGAGUGCCAGGAGAUCACCAGUCCGGCGCUGGCCCGGCUUGGGAAAGGAGGGUGGCCUUGGCUCUCGGGGGUGGAGGUGGGGGGGGGGAAGCAGCGGAAAGAAAGGCUGCGUCCAGCUUUUUGGACAACUGGACUCUAUGAACUCGGAGAAGAGGAAUGGCGGCAGAGCUGGGAGGGCCCGAGCCCCAAGCGGGAGAGCACCGUCCGCUGUUUUCCUUUAGAGCCAGUUCCUUUGUGCAGCUGCAACCCAUCCAGUCCAGCAGGGCAAGCUCAAGACAUGUGCAGCUUGAGGCAGCAAAGGUGUCCCCAUCUCAUCAAGGCAGAGAAGUCCAUUGGAUUGGCAGGUGAAUCUUUGUUCAGCAUUAGCAACCGACCUUACAGGGCUCUUCACUGCACUUAAGUGCAGCAGGCUACAAUAUAAGGAGCUGGAGGGCAGGCGGGAGGGCAAGCACAGCUGACUUUGGCAUUGCUCUGGGUUGCUCUUAUCUGCUGCUUAAGGCAGCUGCCUUGCCCCACCUCAUGGUGGGGGUCUAUGUUCCCAUGGAGAAACCAGGAGCACUGAAAUCCAGCAAUUUACCUUCAUGGGUGAACCCGCUCUCAUGACUCUAAUCUCUUGUGUUCUGUCAAGUGACAAUUUCCAUGACAACAACAUCAUGAUGAUGAUGAUGAUGAUGAUGAUGAUGAUGAUGAUGAUGAUGAUGAUGAUGACAUUCCAGUCUGUCAAGAAUGCUUUAUAGUGGCCAGUAUCCUCUUGUGAGUACCCAUUUGAGUAGACCUGUUGACAAAGAGGAAUUUACAUAAG
rnacentral:lncRNA from 1 species